rnacentral:misc_RNA from 1 species
UAUGCCUAAUGGGUACUCCAAGGUAAUGAUCACUAGUGUACAUUUUUUAGGUCCGUAACUUGAAACCAGUUUGAGUCUGUAUCCUUCACAUUUAUUGCAAUUCUCCAGGUGGGUGUUCUUCCUCUUCAGCUAGUAAUGAGUUUGUUGAGUUAAUUGCAACGUUGGAGGUUUAGUUGAGAGCAUUUAAUUGAACACAAAGGUCAUAAAUCAUGAACAUUUGCAUUCCCAAGUCAACAUGGGGCUCAUCCAUCUAAGAGUUUUCGUUUUGUCUAGUGAUUACUCACUGAAUCCCCACACUGUCACUAGCCAGUUGUUUAGUCUCUCGGCGAAUAUAAGCCUUCCUAGGGUCUUUAUUAUAUUGACCUGGAUGCUCCCUCUGGUCUCAAAAUUAUUGUUUUAAGUUCCAAGUUUCAACAACUAGGGUUGCUUAAAAUCAUUUAAUUAUUGCCAAGGUACAUGAGCAAAUCGAGAAUACCACAUUAUUUUUAUCAAUAGAAGCCUCCAUUACCCAUAUUUUGGUGCCUUGAAUUCAUUGAUUUCAUAUCCUUUUGCAAGUAAAUGCCUAAUUAUCCUAAUAAACAAUAUAUUUGAUGUUUCUAUUCCAAUCUCUGAAGCUGUCUUGGCUAUCUUUAUUAUUAUUUUUAGUAAUUUUUAUCUGGUUCCAGCCUUAUGAUAGUGCUAUUUCUUUAUAGUCAAACUCCAAAGACUGGCUAUUUUGUUUCCACAUGAGUGUUCAAAUCUUUUAUUUAGAUUAUAGACGGCACUACACAUUUCGAUGUCACCCUCUACGGUGUAUCUUUUGAUGCCAAUCCUUUCACUGAGCCCAACCUGGAGCCUUUUCCGUGAUUUGCCUCCAUUUUUCUAUAAAGAAUUAGUAUUCUUUAAUAUUGCAUUAUACACUGACGUCUUAAAAUAAUGCAAGAGGAUAACCCCAAAGAAGGUUCGUAAUAAUAAAAUACGAAUCUCUCACUCCCCAUUUUUAUAUAAGCUUAUUUAUUUAUUGCGAUCUGAGUUUGUCUCGCUGCAGCUUUCUUCCAAUCCAUGGAAGCGGCAUUUCAUCAUUCUAUCAUCAUUUUAAUUUCUAAUCAUUAGGUGACAGAAAGUAGGAACUUAGUUUUUGGCCUUAAAAUAAUACAAAAAUAAAUCUUUCUUUCAUCCGUAGCUAUCAGUAAUUAAUCUGUUUCUCAUCAUUCUGACUUGGCUAAUCUACCUACUGAAUUGCAGGUUACAUGGGUUGAGCACGCAG